rnacentral:rRNA from 1 species
GGAAGCCGGACAAUACUGUCAAGCUAGAGGGCAUCAGAGGGGAGUGGAAUUCACGGAGUAGCGGUAAAAUGCGCAGAUAUCGGGAGGAACACCGAUGGCGAAGGCAGCUCCCUGGGAUGCACCUGACGCUAAGAGGCGAAAGCUAGGGGAGCGAACAGGAUUAGAGACCCUGGUAGUCCUAGCUGUAAACGCUGGGUGCUAGGUGUGGGACGUAGAAGUUCCGUGCCGGAGCAAACGCGAUAAGCACCCCGCCUGGGAAUUACGGUCGCAAGGCUAAAACUCAAACGAAUUGACGGGGCCCCGCACAAGCAGCGGAGCGUGUGGUUCAAUUCGAUGCUACACGAAGAACCUUACCUGGGUUUGACAUGUACGUGGUACGAGGGCGAAAGCCUAAGGACCCUUCGGGGAGCGUACACAGGUGCUGCAUGGCUGUCGUCAGCUCGUGCCGUGAGGUGUCGGGUUAAGUCCCGUAACGAGCGCAACCCUUGCCCUUAGUUACAAGUGUCUAAGGGGACUGCCGGCGGGAAGCCGGAGGAAGGUGGGGAUGACGUCAAGUCAGCAUGGCCCUUAUGUCCAGGGCUACACACACGCUACAAUGGUCAGUACAAAGGGUAGCGAAGUCGCGAGGCGGAGCGAAUCUCAACAAAGCUGAUCGUAGUUCGGAUUGCAGGCUGCAACCCGCCUGCAUGAAGCUGGAGUUGCUAGUAACCGCGCGUCAGCCAUAGUGCGGUGAAUACGUACCCGGGGCUUGUACACACCGCCCGUCACGUCAUGGGAGUCGGUAACGCCUGAAGCCGGUAGUCUGGCCCGCGAGGGGGGACGCUGUCGAAGGCGGGACUG